rfam:Nitrosospira sp. Nsp11 genome assembly, contig: Ga0111721_115
GGGCAGGAUAUGUGAAGUAGGCCUACCCGCGAGCGGGUAUUCCUCUUCACAACUUGCCUAUUCGCACUAUGUGCUCAACGGAAUCCUGCUCUGCGAGGCA